UGCAUCGGAACGUACCCAGUCGUGGGGGAUAACGUAGCGAAAGUUACGCUAAUACCGCAUACGUCCUGAGGGAGAAAGCGGGGGACCGUAAGGCCUCGCGCGAUUGGAGCGGCCGAUGUCGGAUUAGCUAGUUGGUGGGGUAAAGGCCUACCAAGGCAACGAUCCGUAGCGGGUCUGAGAGGAUGAUCCGCCACACUGGGACUGAGACACGGCCCAGACUCCUACGGGAGGCAGCAGUGGGGAAUUUUGGACAAUGGGCGCAAGCCUGAUCUAGCCAUGCCGCGUGAGCGAUGAAGGCCUUAGGGUUGUAGAGCUCUUUCAGGGGGGAAGAUAAUGACUGUACCCCCAGAAGAAGCCCCGGCUAACUCCGUG
rnacentral:rRNA from 1 species